AACCUUGAGGCUAUGAUCAGAUGAUUGCUCUGGCGGUGAAGGUUGUAGGUAAGGAUACCAGGUGAUGGCUCUCUGCAGAUUUCAUGGGAGUACGCUGAUGGUGUAAUAGGCCAGUACACGGUGCAGAUACCUUGGAAGAUCUCUUUCUCACUGGACUGCUUAUUGGUGGAGUAUUGGGGAGUCUUAGCGUUUAUGUUGAAGGUCUUGUUUCUUUCCAUUGGGGUGUCUACAUUUACUUCUUUAUGUCCUCUGCAUACCUUGGAAGAUCUCUAGGUGGCUGUGCGGUUAAGUGUUGGGCUGUCAUGUCUUGAAGAUGUUGUUUAAAACCAUUGUACUCGGAUAACAAGACUCACUUUAUUCUUUUCUCUGUAUAGUGUGAAACUACUCAAGACUAUGUAAUAGCUGUUAAUAUGAUGAAGCCCUGAUAUAAAGAGUCACUAAAAUGAUUAACCUAAGUAUAAAAAUUUAAUGGGGCACAGGGGCUAGAAUGACCAUACUAUAGACUUACUUUAUGCUUUACACAUAUUUGUAUAUAUGACAGCAGCAUGGAAUUAAAUAACAAGGCAAACAGGCCAAUAUAUGAAAGUCACUCAUACAAGUCUUUUCUACACGUUCCUUAUCUUUAUUUCAUAUUCCAUUCACUUUUUAAUAUUCCAUUCAUUUUUCCGCUGUCAAUUUAAAUGGUACAAAUUUUGACCUCUGAACUAGUCAAUGGAUAAAGUCAGUAUACUCACUAUCUGUUUUUUUUAAAUUAUUUUGUUAAAAAAUUUGUACUUCACUUCCUUAUUAGAUAAACUUUUAGUGAGGUUGAUUUCUUAUUUUCUGCCCUAAUUGACUUAUGUUUAACUGAAUUAUGUACAGGAGCUGCUCAAUCUUUAAUACACAUUAUUGACAGAAACAAACCUUGAUAAAUGGUUAAUGGGGCACGCCCCAGGGGCUGGGUACCCUAGCUUGUGUUUAUCCCUAAAAACCCAAGGUUGUUACUGACAUCCAUUCUCUAGUUUUCAUCAUCAGCACUCCUUUAUAUCUAGUAUAGUAUCUAGUACCUUGUUCAAUAGUGAGUUGCUUCAAGUCCAACAUAUUUGUUAUGAUUCUAAUAUUAUUUAGACAUUUCUGAUAUAUUUUGUUUAAUAACUAAGUGUCUCUAGUAACUAGGAUAUAUCUCUUUGACCUAUGACUAGUAAAGCUUCUAUGUCGUGGUGCUUAUAUCAAGAUAUUUAUUAGUUUACCAUCAUAGUUUUUAUGAUUCUAAUAUUCUUUACACAUUUUGAUAUAUUUUGUUCAAUAACUAAAUGUCUCAUACACCUAGUAAAUCUCUUUGGCCUACAACUAGCUUACAAAUGUAGCUACUUUGUUAGGUUGCUUAUAGAGACAAUAUCAUAUCAUAUUUGCUUGGAGCACUAAGUAUGGUCAUCUAGUGAAAUGGGAUACUUAACACAAAACAUAAACUGCAUUAAAUGUUCAAAACUA